rnacentral:lncRNA from 1 species
GGAGUUUUUGCUUACUUUCAUGUCUAUAUGCUUUCUCCAGAAGCACCUUUGUAAGACACAGACUCAGCUAUGAUUGAAGCUGACUCUCUACUCUUGUUUUCACCACCUUUUAAAGUCCAAAUCCAGGAGCUUUGCAGUGCAGUAAGGAAAUGUUUUUUACCAACCUAAGGUGCGUAUGAAUGUGGUAGAUAGAGAUGUAGUUCAUCUGAAGGUAUUUACUAUCGUGACUGUGAAGUGAUAUGAAUAUUUUAGUUAUCAGCAGUUUAUAGGCAUUCAAAAUAGGUUGUGCGAUGAUUACAUUUGAUAUAUUUGUGGAGCAACGGUAGAAAUAUCAUUAAUAAUACCUUUUAAGAUAUAUCCUGUUUUUUAAAGAAGUGACUUUAGUUUGGAUCAGUUGGAGACCUCUGGAACAACUUAAAGAUAAAACUGGAAAGAUAUUUUCCCUUCUUCAGUAUACUGUCAAUAUUGGGUCUCCUUAGUCAAGCAAAAGUUUGCUGUUGAAAAUAACUUUGUGAAGAUACAAUCAAAGCAAAAGUAAUACUGAAAUACAUCAUGUUAAUUCUUACAAGACAGCAUUCUUUCUGGAGCUAUUCUGAAGGGCAUUUCAGCAGGAACAAGAAGAUUAGGUGAUGAAGAAUAAAAAAAAAUGUUUCUGUUUUCUUGACAUUACAAGGUUUGGUUUUUUUGUAAAAUAAAUAUAUUGACUGAUGAAGGUCCUGAUUUUAUAAAUGUCAGAAUAAAGUGAUAUGUUACCUUGGGAUUUCCAGAUUUUCCAAAACCCAAUACCUUUCAUACUUGUAUUUCUCUAGGUUUCCUGAAAAAAAACAGAUGAAUGAGACUGCAUGUGUUCUCUGGGAUAAUGUGUCUGUCAGGACCCCUAUAUUCUCCCUCAAAAGAGGCCCUGCAUGGUAGAUGUUACCUCUUCACCCAAAGUCUCUUUGCAUGAUCAGAAGAGAGAACUCAGGCUCCUUAAUGCUGCUUGGAGGCUGAUCUCUACCCUCCUCCCUCCAUGCCAGAGUUACAGUCAGUGGGCAACACUGGGCACCACAUAGUC